rnacentral:rRNA from 1 species
GAUGAACGCUGGCGGCGUGCUUAAUACAUGCAAGUCGAGCGAAGCGCUUUAACGGAAUUCUUCGGAAGGAAGAUAAAGUGACUGAGCGGCGGACGGGUGAGUAACGCGUGGGUAACCUGCCUCAUACAGGGGGAUAACAGUUAGAAAUGGCUGCUAAUACCGCAUAAGCGCACAGGACCGCAUGGUCUGGUGUGAAAAACUCCGGUGGUAUGGGAUGGACCCGCGUUGGAUUAGGUAGUUGGUGGGGUAACGGCCUACCAAGCCGACGAUCCAUAGCCGGCCUGAGAGGGUGGACGGCCACAUUGGGACUGAGACACGGCCCAGACUCCUACGGGAGGCAGCAGUAGGGAAUAUUGCACAAUGGGGGAAACCCUGAUGCAGCGACGCCGCGUGAAGGAAGAAGUAUCUCGGUAUGUAAACUUCUAUCAGCAGGGAAGACAAUGACGGUACCUGACUAAGAAG